ACCAAGAAAGAGUUAUAGAAAAGCCAUGGAUAAGCAUGAGUCAAAGUUCAGAAAGGGUUCGGAGAAAGUGAAGAGAUGGGAGAAGGCUCUCUUCGAUGCUGGUAGCUUGUCUGGGUGGGAAUUCCAUAAGGGUGGAAGAGAUGAAGCGGAGCUCAUAC